rnacentral:rRNA from 1 species
AUUGAACGCUGGCGACAGGCUUAACACAUGCAAGUCGAGCGGAGUGAUGGUGCUUGCACUAUCACUUAGCGGCGGACGGGUGAGUAAUGCUUAGGAAUCUGCCUAUUAGUGGGGGACAACAUCUCGAAAGGGAUGCUAAUACCGCAUACGUCCUACGGGAGAAAGCAGGGGAUCACUUAUGACCUUGCGCUAAUAGAUGAGCCUAAGUCGGAUUAGCUAGUUGGUGGGGUAAAGGCCUACCAAGGCGACGAUCUGUAGCGGGUCUGAGAGGAUGAUCCGCCACACUGGGACUGGGACAAGGCCCAGACUCCUACGGGAGGCAGCAGUGGGGAAUAUUGGACAAUGGGGGGAACCCUGAUCCAGCCAUGCCGCGUGUGUGAAGAAGGCCUUAUGGUUGUAAAGCACUUUAAGCGAGGAGGAGGCUCUUUUGGUUAAUACCCAAGAUGAGUGGACGUUACUCGCAGAAUAAGCACCGGCUAACUCUGUGCCAGCCGCCGCCGUAA